UUGCUCACUUCCACAGCACAUAUAUUAAAAUUGGAACGAUACAGAGAAGAUUAGCAUGGCCCCUGUGCAAAGAUGACACACAAAUUUGUGAAGCAUUCCAAGAAAAA